rnacentral:tRNA from 1 species
GCCUAGAUAACUUUGCGGUUAGAGUGCCUGCCUUGUAAGCGCUAGAUCACAGGUUCAAUUCCCGUCUGAUGCA